GUUUUAGACAAAAAAUACAAUGAUGAAAUUAGAGAACAAAAUUAUCCUAGGUAAAAGAAAUAAUGGCAUCUACAAAGUUCCAGAAGAUGUGGUGGAUGUCUUUCUUAGUGAUGCUAGUGAAAAAUUAACGGAUGAUUUAAUAGUAGAUAAUAUUAUUGAUAUGAUGAUUCCAGGGGAAGACUUGGUGCCACUUCUUAUGACUCUAGCUACAAAAUAUCUAUUGGAUUGUGCUAUUGCUUUGCAACAAUUGACGCUUAAGUGAUGGAUUGGUGAACUUCAAGACAAAGAUAUGAGCACUUGCAAUUUCACUCCUUUUGGAGGGGGACAAAGGCUGUGCCCUGGCCUUGACUUGGAUAGGCUGGAAGCUUCCAUCUUCCUACACCACUUUGUCAGUCAAUUCAGAUGGCAAGCUAAAGAAGAUACAAUAGUGAACUUUCCUACAAUAAUAAUGAAAAAGAGGAUGUCUGUGAUGGUAAGGAGAGUGGAAUCUUAAGCUUCCCUUGGCCAAAAAGUGUGGAGCCACUUCUACCUAAGGAUGCCUUGGGAUCUUUAAGAAUCAAAAAGUACACCCUGAUAAUCACCUUAUCCUUCAAAAUAUAUUUUUUGUGCAGUUUAAUGUCACACUUUUUAUAUAUAAUAUAUUUAUUCUUGUGAAGUGGUUUAAUGAUGUGCAUUCAACUGAAAUCUCUAAUAAAUGUGAUGAAGCACUUAAUCUGCUGUCAAAGGCUCAUGGUUGUGAAGUAAGUUCAUCAUUCUAUCAUGUAAUGCAUUUUAUUUCUUGAUAAGCAUGAUAAAUUUAAACAAGGUUAAGUAGUGUAUAUUUCUCUAUUAUUUGAAGAUGAUAGAAAUUGUUAUACCAGAGCUUCUUCAGAUGCGAACUGCCCAUGUUGUUUCCAUUGGCUCUGAAUGCUUAUGUUCACUGAAUCCUGAUUGUGAAGACGGGUAUGUUUGAGUAUAUAUUGAAAGUUAAUAUUGGUAACUUCAUUUUGUGGUCCAAUUCUUAAAAGAAAUCCUUCUAAUAUGUUAUUCAAAGUGGUUAAUAUUAGACGGUGGGUAUAAAAAUUUAUGGUGAUUUCCUUUAUUUCUUUGCUUUCAUAUGAAAGGUGUAAUAUGAUACUCCUACAAGUUUGGCACUUUUUCGGCCAUUUACAACAACCAAUUAUGUUGCAACCCAAUGUAUUAGGUGAUACGAGAGUUGAUAAUAAAUAUAACAAAUUUGUGUCCCUUUAUUUAAGCAUCUCUUACUGAUGACCUUGGAAAAUGACAUGUUACAAUUUGUAAAAAUAAUUACUAUCACAGAUUGUCUAAUGUAUACCAGAAAAUUGUGUAUAUAGCUUCUAAAAUUUGUCUUAAAUGUUUCAGACCAAGGAGUAUGUAUUACCACUUGGACAUUUUCAAGAAAGUGAAUGUCAUAGUAACACCGACCACUAGGUAUGUAUAACAAUUUGGUAGUGUACUCCUUAGUGUAAUGUACUCAUGCACUGUGCCAAAUUAAGUUUAGUCGAUCUAACGUGGGUUACUUUUAUAAUUCUUUGAAUGUCAUUGAAAUUAGUUUUUACAAUCUAGAUAAUAGUAUAUAACUAUAUAUGUUUUCUGGCAGUUGUUAAUAAUUUAUUGCUAUGAAAUCUACUUUGCCUAUGUUGUAAUGACUGAGAUUCCUGUAUCCUUAGUAGAAUACUUUGAUGGACAAGUGUCCCAUAUAAAAUAUUUCCUUGUUGCACACAAGAAGAACACAAUUUGUGAAAUUUGAAAUAAUUAUGCUAGAUUUCUCGUUGCCCAUUUUGGUCAUUAAGAUCAUUAAUUCCUUGUGUUUUCAUAAUUUUAUUCAUGAAACAAAAUUAUG